rnacentral:tRNA from 1 species
GGAUGGUGGCACAGUGGUAGAGCACUUGCCUAGCAUGCAUGAAGCACUGGGUUCAAUCCCCAGUACCA